GACCUCGGAUCAGGUAGGGAUACCCGCUGAACUUAAGCAUAUCAAUAAGCGGAGGAAAAGAAACCAACAGGGAUUGCCUCAGUAACGGCGAGUGAAGCGGCAACAGCUCAAAUUUGAAAUCUGGCCCUUCCGGGGUCCGAGUUGUAAUUUGUAGAGGGUGUUUCGGGCGACGCGCCGGUCUAAGUCCUUGGAACGGGGCGUCAUAGAGGGUGAGAAUCCCGUAUGCGACCGGCGGGUGUGUGAACCCUUCGACGAGUCGAGUUGUUUGGGAAUGCAGCUCGGGUGGUAAAUUUCAUCUAAAGCUAAAUCCGAUAGCGCACAAGUAGAGUGAUCGAAAGAUGAAAAGCACUUUGGAAAGAGAGUCAAAAAGUACGUGAAAUUGUUGAAAGGGAAGCGCUUGCAACCAGACCUGCCCGCGGGUGAUCAGCCGUCCUUCUGGGCGGUGCACUCGCCCGCGAUCAGGCCAGCAUCGGUUCGGGCGGUCGGAUAAAGGCCCUGGGAACGUGGCUCCCCUCGGGGAGUGUUAUAGCCCUCGGUGCAAUGCGGCCCGCCCGGACCGAGGACCGCGCUUCGGCUAGGAUGCUGGCGUAAUGGUUGUAAGCGGCCCGUCUUGAAACACGGACCAAGGAGUCGACCAACUAUGCGAGUGUUUGGGUGUCAAACCCACACGCGCAAUGAAAGUGAACGGAGGUGGGAACCCCUCGCGGGGCGCACCAUCGACCGAUCCAGAUGUCUUCGGAUGGAUUUGAGUACGAGCAUAGCUGGUCGGACCCGAAAGAUGGUGAACUAUGCCUGAAUAGGGUGAAGCCAGAGGAAACUCUGGUGGAGGCUCGCAGCGGUUCUGACGUGCAAAUCGAUCGUCAAAUUUGGGCAUAGGGGCGAAAGACUAAUCGAACCAUCUAGUAGCUGGUUCCAGCCGAAGUUUCCCCUCA
rnacentral:rRNA from 1 species